UCUCAGGCAGUUCCUUGUAGCAGUGUGAGAACGGACUAAUACCGCAGCCAACUCUUCAAACCAGGUUGAAAUAAGGUGGUAGAUCAGAGGUUUUCAGCAUGCCUCUGCCACUUGGAAAUAGCAAGAUGGUACAUAAAGAUCAACUCUGUGAGCUUUAAUCCAAGAAGGAAAUCAGGAGUCCACCAGAAUCGCAAAGGACAACCCAGAUCCCCAGGAGGAGAACCCGGCAAACAGUCCCUGUGAUGGCAUCUGCCAGAUGAAAGUGAGCGAAGCCUCAGUACGAGAGAAAUGCCGGGAGCCUCCCUCUGUGACUCACCUUUCCACUGGGCAUUGGAGCAACACAGGCCAAGGGAGAGCAUUUUGUUUCUACCAAGCUCUGGAGGUAACCUGGGGAGAGGCUUGGAGCGCUGUGAGGGACAGACACUGGGAAAAGCUGCAAACCUUUUCCCAGACCCGGAAACCAAGUGCAGGAUACCAUUUUGAAUCCAGGUACGCACAAAGUUAGUUGUUCCUUGGCGGCUCGCAUUUUAGUCUUCAGUCAAGGUUUGCAGUGUCUGCUCUGGGAUGGGGUAGGGACCUCCACAGUCAGAAUUGUGGAACACACCUCAGCAGUAGGCGCUGGAACUUUGCUCUCCUCUGUUGCAAGCCUGAGGCAGCAGGAGAGCAGCUACAUCUGUAGCUUCUCCUGGGUGGUAAGACUUGCAGCCAGGUCCAGCUUGGUGACCUGGAACUGCUCUGCGUGUGCCCCAGCCUGCUGUCCUGAUAUUAUGGUGCAGUGGGACCCUCUCUGCUCCACCCCCAGGCAGAAAUCCAGGCAUGUGUAGGACCCUGGACCAGCAGCCUGAGCCACCCACCACUCCUGGACAGAGUGUGGGGUCCAGCCUGAGCCACCCUAUCAUUCCUGGACACAGAGUGUGGGGUCCAGCCUGAGCCACCCCAUCAUUCCUGGACACAGAGUGUGGGGUCCAGCCUGAGCCACCCCACCAUUCCUGGACACAGAGUGUGGGGUCCAGCCUGAGCUACCCCACCAUUCCUGGACACAGAGUGUGGGGUCCGGCCUGAGCCACCCCACCAUUCCUGGACACAGAGUGUGGGGUCCAGCCUGAACCACCCCACCAUUCCUGGACACAGAGUGUGGUGCAGCAGGACUCUUUCCACUUCACACCUAAGCAGAUCUCCAGAUGUUCAGAGCCACCCCUCAUCUGGAUCAGCAGCCUGACACCCCAUUUAUCCUGCACAGAGGCCCUGGUACAGGGAGGCCCUCUCACUCCAUGCCCAGGCAGCUCUCCAGGCAUUUAGAAUACCUCCUCACCUGGAUCAGCAGACUGAUCCACUGCACCUGUCCUGUGCAGAGAUCCUGGUGCAGGGAAACCCUCUCCACUCCAUGCCCAGGCAGAUCUCCAGGCAUCUAGUGGGCCCAUUCUCCUGGAUUAGAAGCUUAGGCUGUCCCCCAGCCCUAUGCUGAGGACUUGGAGGCAAGGUGGUUUCCCAGCUCCAUACCUAGGCAUGCCUCUAGGCACUUGGUAGCCACCUACUGGAUUCUCUCUCAGCACUCGUGCUUGUGCUUGCUAAGUCCAUCUGGCAAAAUCUUCAAGUAAUGAUACCACCAAAAGAUUGCACUAGCUCUGCAGCAAUACACCCCAACCAAAAUGGAAACUCAGAAACGACAGAUAAAGAAUCAAGGCAUAGAUUGCAAGGAAGCUCAAUGAGAUCCAAGACGAAGUUGAAAACCAACACAAACUUCUAAAGCAAUCCAGGAAAUGAAGGAAGAGAUAAACAUCUUAAAAAGAGAUCAGUCAGAGCUUCCGGAAUUGAAAAACUCACUUAAGGAAUUUCAAAAUACAAUUAAAAAUUUCAUUAAUAGUACCAAGCAGAAAAAAGAAUUUCAGAGCUUGAAGACUAGUCCUUUGAACUAACCCAAUCAGACCAGAAUAAAGAAAAAAGAGUUUUUUUAAAAAACAGCCUUUGAGAAAUAUGGAAUUAUGUAAAGUGACCAAAUCCAUGAAUUGUUGGCAUUCCUGAAAGAGAAGGAGAUAAAGUAAACAACCUGAAAAAAGUAGUUGAGGCAAUAAUUCAAGAAAAUUUUCCUAAUCUUGCUAGACAGGUAAACAUCCAGAUAUAAGAAGUUCAGAGAACAUCUCUGAGAUACUUAUACAAAAUUAAUAUCUCCAAGGCAUAUAGUCACCAGACUGUCCAAGGUCAAUGGUAAAGAAAAAAUUUCAAAGGUAGCUAGAGAAAAAGGUCAGAUUACAUACAAAUGGAGCUCCAUCAGACUAACAGUGGAGUUCUCAGCAGAGACUGAGACUACUAGGGCUUGUAUGCUGCCUUCUCCAGGCUGUAGAGUUAGUGGGAGGGGACAGAGAAGGGCAAGGAUUUUAAAACUAACUAUUGGGUACUAUGCUCAGUACCUGGUGAUGGGAUCACUGAUACCCCAAACCUCAGCAUCAUGCCAUAUACCUAGGUAACAAACCUGUAUAUGUACCCUCUGAAUCUAAAAGUUAAAAAGCGAACAAACAAACAAAAUAUAACCUGAUAAAUGGUUUUCUAAAGUUUCCUCCAGAGAGGAAACUUGCACCAGAGCUCUGUUAUCUAUUCUGUUAUUCAUUAUUUUAAAAUAAAAGCCACUUUCUUUUAGUAUCAAUGCUGCUUCUGUGCAUUAUUUACUAUUAUUUUAAUUAAUCCAAUUUGACCUACUGGAACUUCCAGUGAGUACACUGUGGGCAC
rnacentral:lncRNA from 10 species